rnacentral:rRNA from 1 species
AGUCGAACGGCAGCACAGAGGAGCUUGCUCCUUGGGUGGCGAGUGGCGGACGGGUGAGGAAAACGUCGGAAUCUGCCUAUUUGUGGGGGAUAACGUAGGGAAACUUACGCUAAUACCGCAUACGACCUACGGGUGAAAGCGGAGGACCUUCGGGCUUCGCGCAGAUAGAUGAGCCGACGUCGGAUUAGCUAGUUGGCGGGGUAAAGGCCCACCAAGGCGACGAUCCGUAGCUGGUCUGAGAGGAUGAUCAGCCACACUGGAACUGAGACACGGUCCAGACUCCUACGGGAGGCAGCAGUGGGGAAUAUUGGACAAUGGGCGCAAGCCUGAUCCAGCCAUGCCGCGUGUGUGAAGAAGGCCUUCGGGUUGUAAAGCACUUUUGUCCGGAAAGAAAAGUUCUCGGUUAAUACCCGGGGAUUAUGACGGUACCGGAAGAAUAAGCACCGGCUAACUUCGUGCCAGCAGCCGCGGUAAUACGAAGGGUGCAAGCGUUACUCGGAAUUACUGGGCGUAAAGCGUGCGUAGGUGGUUUGUUAAGUCUGAUGUGAAAGCCCUGGGCUCAACCUGGGAAUGGCAUUGGAAACUGGCUGACUAGAGUGCGGUAGAGGGUAGUGGAAUUCCCGGUGUA